rnacentral:rRNA from 1 species
AUGCUAGGACAAUGGGAUAUUGAUCAGGCCAUAUGUGUGUCUCAUACAAGCAAAGAGAACACUGUCUUGAGGUCAGGGAUAUCUCCGGACAAAGUUUUCAUGGUUCCCAAUGCAGUGGAUACUGCAAUGUUUACUCCCUCCUCCAACCGCUUAAGCUGUGAUGAAAUCAUUAUUGUUGUGAUAAGUAGAUUGGUAUAUCGAAAAGGUGCUGACCUUCUUGUUGAAGUCAUUCCAGAAGUAUGCCGUCUAUUUCCAAAGGUUCGCUUUAUUGUUGGAGGUGAUGGUCCAAAACGUGUGCGGCUUGAAGAGAUGAGGGAGAAGUUCUCCCUUCAGGAUAGAGUUGAGAUGUUAGGGGCUGUACCUCAUGCUCAAGUACGAUCUGUUCUGAUAUCCGGUCAUAUAUUUCUGAACAGUUCGCUUACAGAAGCAUUUUGCAUAGCCAUUCUGGAAGCAGCAAGCUGUGGGCUUUUGACAGUAAGCACUAGAGUCGGAGGGGUUCCAGAGGUUCUACCAGAUGACAUGAUAGUACUUGCAGAACCAGAUCCAGAAGAUAUGGUACGGGCUGUGAGGCAAGCUAUCGACAUACUUCCUGGUAUAGAUCCCCAAAUUAUGCAUCGCCGGAUGAAAAAACUCUACAGUUGGGAUGAUGUGGCCAAAAGAACAGAGAUUGUCUACGAUCGUGCAAUGCAGUCAUCAAACACUAAUUUGCUAGAUCGUCUUCCUCGAUAUCUCACAUGUGGAGCUUGGGCAGGCAAGCUGUUUUGCCUCGUUAUGAUCAUAAAUUACCUUGUGUGGUGCCUUCUAGAAUUCCUGCAGCCUGCUGAAGGUAUUGAAGAAGUCCCAGAUAUAGGGCCACUGCACAUUCAUUCGGAUUCAGUAGAUGACCAGUGCGAAGCGCAACGAAAUUGA